ensembl:lncRNA
GUCAGUUGCUGACGCAGAUUGACACGUCAUUUCUUCUCUUGUCGAAAGAAGGGUUUGUUUUUUUUAGUAAUCAAGGACAAGCCGAGGAUGAGAAUACGAUUGCAAGAUACCGUAGAAUAAGAAAACAUUAUAUUUGAAGUAAGUUUUAAGAUUAAGCAUCAGGUUUGUUUGCCGAAUAACUUUUAUGAGACCUGUAUUAUUUGGACAGCACAUAUAAAUGAGGCGAUAUAAGCGUGGGACCAUUUAGUUCCUUUUAUUAAACAACGUCCAACACCCUUUAACAACGUCUGUGCUCCCACAGCUUCAUCUCUGUAUCUCUGCCGAUUCACCACCACACUAUCCCUAUUAGCUCCGUAUAUCACUAACAGUAUAUACCAAGGGUGGGCAAUCUUAACCUGUGUUGCCCACCCCUGGCAUAUACGGUACUCUCUGUAUUACCAGGGCUAGCAAUGAUCAAACUGCUAACUUAGACUGGUAGGUGAUUUAAAUGUACAGUUAUGAAAAUGAGGAUUUGUAAUUAAGAUAUAAAUGUUGGUAAUUGGAUGAUUACCUCCAAUUACCAUCUGUAAAGCUGCUUUGAGACAAUGUCUAUUGUAAAAAGUGCUAUACAAAUAAAAUUGAAUUGAAUUGAAUUGAAUUGAAUUGGAUUAGACGUAACCAUAGACUGUCAUAUUUUCGCACAGGAUCAAUUAAACAUGAAAAGAAGGGAGAGAUAUCAGAGUUCUUUUUUAAAUAAGCACAAACAGGCAGAUCAGGUGCAAACGGCCCUGUCUGCUUCAUGCCUGCUAUGUCUAACUGCAGUGUGUGGGUUUUUUUUUUUUUGUGUGUGUAAAUAAACUCAGCAGUUCAUGUAACAGAUUCAUGCUACUGUAUCUUAUCUCCCUGGUGCUUAAGAUUUAUUUUCUGAAAAUAUUUUGGAUGUUUGACACUUACACAGGACACAAACAGGGUGACCCAAUUUUUUCCACUAUGUGAGUACAGUGUGUGUGUGUGUGUGUGUGUGUGUGUUAACGUGUCCUGUCACAAAAUGCGGUGAAAACUCCCACAUGACGUUAAUAGUGUGAUUAAGGUGUGUACAUGUCUG